AACACGGAGGGGAGGUCGCGGCUGAGGUCGCUAUAUAAUUAAUACACUCCACUCCCUGCUCCAGGCUGGAGGCUUGCAGAAGCUGGGGAAAGGACGCGCCCGGGGGCCGGGGGAAGAGCCUCACAACUUGUGCCGGGCUGCUGCUGGUGGUGGUGCCGCCGGGGCAUACGGGGCCAAGACCCUCUGUCCCUCUCCCUCCCCCUUUCCGAGGGAUCCAGCUUCACCCGGGUUGCUGCUUGUCGCGGCCCCGAGGGUGAAGAAAUAGGGAGACCGGAGCGUUAAGACUUGGCGCUCCUCCUUGGGAGCCAGUGCUGGGGCUUGCACCCGGGAAGUUUUUCCUCCACCGCUAACUUUGGUCUCUGGAGGAGAGAGUCCAGGCAGGUGUGUGAGCGCUGCUGGCCAGUCGGGCUUUCUGGGGGAGGCACAACUGAUUAUCAAGAUGAGGAACUGAGACUCAAAGUAUGGUACAAAAGAAAAAGCUCUGACUGUGGAGUCAAAGGACCUUGAUUCAAAUUCAGCCUCUAACGCUGCCUUCGUAUCCUUGGAUUAAUUUUGCAGUUUCUCGAUUAAAGACCUAUUCUGAAGCCCCAUUGUGGUGUGGAGGUGACCUUGGGUUCUAGCAAAUGCCAACAGAGCACAAGUUCUGUAGGUAGGUGAAGCAACAGCUGAAGCACUGGGCCUGGAAUCAGGAAGACCUGAGUUCAAAUGGGGCCUCAGACACUUUCUAGCUGUGUGACCCUGGGCAAGUCACUUAACCUGUUUGCCUCCGUUUCCUC